rnacentral:rRNA from 1 species
GAUGAACGCUGGCGGCGUGCCUAAUACAUGCAAGUCGCGCGACUGGAUUAAGAGCUUGCUCUUAUGAAGUUAGCGGCGGACGGGUGAGUAACACGUGGGUAACCUGCCCAUAAGACUGGGAUAACUCCGGGAAACCGGGGCUAAUACCGGAUAACAUUUUGAACCGCAUGGUUCGGAAUUGAAAGGCGGCUUCGGCUGUCACUUAUGGAUGGACCCGCGUCGCAUUAGCUAGUUGGUGAGGUAACGGCUCACCAAGGCAACGAUGCGUAGCCGACCUGAGAGGGUGAUCGGCCACACUGGGACUGAGACCCGGCCCAGACUCCUACGGGAGGCAGCAGUAGGGAAUCUUCCGCAAUGGACGAAAGUCUGACGGAGCAACGCCGCGUGAGUGAUGAAGGCUUUCGGGUCGUAAAACUCUGUUGUUAGGGAAGAACAAGUGCUAGUUGAAUAAGCUGGCACCUUGACGGUACCUAACCAGAAAGCCACGGCUAACUACGUGCCAGCCGCCGCGGUAA